CAGCCGUAAACUAUGCGCGUUAGGUGUAUCGGUGACCACGAGUUACCGAGGUGCCGAAGGGAAACCGUGAAACGUGCCGCCUGGGAAGUACGGUCGCAAGGCUGAAACUUAAAGGAAUUGGCGGGGAGCACCACAACAGGUGGAGCCUGCGGUUUAAUUUGGACUCAACGCCGGGAAGCUCACCGGAUAGGACAGCAGAAUGAUUGCCGGGCUGAAGACCCUGCAUGACUAGCUGAGAGGAGGUGCAUGGCGUAGACGUCU
rnacentral:rRNA from 1 species